rnacentral:rRNA from 1 species
AAUCAACGCUGGCGGCGUGCCUAACACAUGCAAGUCGCACGAGAAAGGGGAGCAAUCCCUGAGUAAAGUGGCGCACGGGUGAGUAACACGUGAAUUAUCUACCUCCGAGUGGGGAAUAACUGAGAGAAAUCUUAGCUAAUACCGCAUAACACUUACGAGUCAAAGCAGCAAUGCGCUUGGAGAGGAGUUCGCGGCCGAUUAGUUAGUUGGCGGGGUAAU